rnacentral:rRNA from 1 species
GAUGAACGCUGGCGGCGUGCCUAAUACAUGCAAGUCGAGCGAACAGACGAGGAGCUUGCUCCUCUGACGUUAGCGGCGGACGGGUGAGUAACACGUGGAUAACCUACCUAUAAGACUGGGAUAACUUCGGGAAACCGGAGCUAAUACCGGAUAAUAUAUUGAACCGCAUGGUUCAAUAGUGAAAGACGGUUUUGCUGUCACUUAUAGAUGGAUCCGCGCCGCAUUAGCUAGUUGGUAAGGUAACGGCUUACCAAGGCAACGAUGCGUAGCCGACCUGAGAGGGUGAUCGGCCACACUGGAACUGAGACACGGUCCAGACUCCUACGGGAGGCAGCAGUAGGGAAUCUUCCGCAAUGGGCGAAAGCCUGACGGAGCAACGCCGCGUGAGUGAUGAAGGUCUUCGGAUCGUAAAACUCUGUUAUUAGGGAAGAACAAAUGUGUAAGUAACUAUGCACGUCUUGACGGUACCUAAUCAGAAAGCCACGGCUACUACGU